rnacentral:lncRNA from 1 species
UCACUAAAUUAGGUCUACUCUCUUCAACUUCAAUUUUUCAAUGCCUCCAUUCUUCAGUCACUUUUAUUAUUACUGUGAGGCCAAAUUUCACCACUUAAUGAAACCUAUGCCAUACAACAAGUCCAAGAAGUGGAAUUAGAGAGCUCCCAAUUGUAUAAUUAUUAGACUAAUUUAAAUCUUUAUAUUAAAAAUUCAAUUAAUUUUAGGCCUUCUAAGUAAUGGUUACCAACAUUAAAUUAACAUGUUAAAUGAAAUUUACUUUGUAAAUACAAUAAAAAUAAUUAACUAAGUUAUUACUAUUAAUUGAUCAUAAAAAUAAAAACUUAAGUUUGAAUUAAAAGCUAGAUUAAAAGUUAAGUUAAAAAAAAUUAAAGUUAAAAAUUAAGAUUAAAAGAUUAAGUUAAAAAUUAAAAUUAAAAUGUUAAGUUAAAAGUUAAUUUAAAAGUAAAUAUUAAAGAUUAAGUAAAAAUUUAAAAUUAAAAGUUUAGUUUAAAAGUUAAAGUUAAAAGUUAAAGUGAGAAUAUUAAAGGUUAAAAGUUAAACUUAAAAUAUAUUAGCCAAAAAGUGAAAUGUGGAGCUUAUAAGUCACUGUAGUAAAAAUAAAGUGAGAGAGGUGAAAGCGAAGGUACCUUGACAACACAUAAGGAUUGAAGGCAGCGACCCCCUUCCACUCCAAAAUUUGCCAAAAUUUGUAAUUGGCUUCAAUUUGAAUGAUUCUUAGCUUUUUGCAAGGCUGACUUGAAGACGCUUUUGAUCCAACAAUCUUCAUUGCAAUCUAAUGAUCCAGUCGUGAGAAUUCCUCCUUUGAAGUUGAAUGAUCCAAACUGCCAUGGUGACCAACUCUCUUCACUUAGAAAUUCACUAAAAAUUCAGAUUGUCUUCAAAUUCAACAAAACUUAUGCCUUUUAGAGUUUAGCUUAUAAAGCUUGAUUCCCACAAAAUUUCAAAUAAAUCCAAUCACCAGGCAUUGAGAAAUGCCUUUCCAAACUCGAUUGAUUCAAACUGCAAAGGCAGUCGACUCCCUCAAACUCAAAAAUUCACUAAAAAUUCUUUCUUACUCCAAAUCAAGCAAGUCUUAUCUUGUUGGAAAGCUAACAACAAAAGCUACAACUACUCAGAAUCUCACAUUGAAACAACAGAAAUUGAGUGACUGAUUGAAGAAAAUCCGAGGCCCUUGAAACCCUUGGGGUAUUUGAAAGGCCGAUGAAAUAUCUACCUCAAUGAAACAUUUUUUAAAACUUAAUGACCAUCCUUCACAAUGCAAAAUCCAUACCUACACAAUCACAAGGUUCACAAUGAGAAUUAAAAUCUAAAUAAAAUUAUGAUUAGGGUUUUGGCCAAAUUUUGGUAUGGCUCCACCCUUCACCCAAAAGAGGAGAGAGAGAG